UGGGGAAUUGUUCGCAAUGGGCGCAAGCCUGACGACGCAACGCCGCGUGGAGGAUGAAGAAUUUCGGUUCGUAAACUCCUUUCGACCGAGAUGAACAUCCUUCGGUUUAACACACCGGAGGACUGACAGUAACGAGAGACGAAGCCCCGGCUAACUCUGUGCCAGCAGCCGCGGUAAUACAGGGGGGGCAAGCGUUGUUCGGAAUUACUGGGCGUAAAGGGUUCGUAGGUGGCCAACUAAGUCAGGUGUGAAAUCCCUCAGCUUAACUGGGGAACUGCUUCUGAUACUGGUUGGCUUGAGUGCAGGAGAGGAAUGCGGAAUUCCAGGUGUAGCGGUGAAAUGCGUAGAUAUCUGGAGGAACACCGGUGGCGAAGGCGGCAUUCUGGACUGUAACUGACACUGAGGAACGAAAGCCAGGGGAGCAA
rnacentral:rRNA from 1 species